rnacentral:rRNA from 1 species
CCUACGAGUGGCAGCAGUGGGGAAUAUUGGGCAAUGGGCGCAAGCCUGACCCAGCAACGCCGCGUGAAGGAAGAAGGCUUUCGGGUUGUAAACUUCUUUUGACAGGGAAGAGUAGAAGACGGUACCUGUCGAAUAAGACACGGCUAACUAAGUGCCAGCAGCCGCGGUAAUACGUAGGUGGCAAGCGUUGUCCGGAAUUACUGGGUGUAAAGGGCGUGUAGCCGGGUUGACAAGUCAGUUGUGAAAUCCUGCGGGUUAACCGAAGAACUGCAUUUGAAACUGUUGAUCUUGAGUACUGGAGAGGCAGACGGAAUUCCUGGUGUAGCGGUGAAAUGCGUAGAUAUUAGGAGGAACACCAGUGGCGAAGGCAGUCUGCUGGACAGCAACUGACGGUGAGGCGCGAAAGCGUGGGGAGCAAACAGGAUUAGAUACCCGGGUAGUC